CAAGGGAAAAUGAGGAAAUUUUAUUUGUAAAUAGGUAGUUGUAUCUGAAUAUUUCAUUGAUGUUAACACCUUGGAGAUCUGAUGCCCUGA